GCUCUGUAGUGUAGUGGUAGCACACGUUACCGGUAUGGAUGAAACACGGGUUCGACUCACGUCUGAGGUCG